rnacentral:rRNA from 1 species
GCCGCCGCGGUAAGACGUAGGACGCGAGCGUUUCCGGAAUUACUGGGCGUAAAGGGCCAGCAGGCGGCUUGGUAAGUUGUGCGUGAAAGCCUCGUGCUCAACGCGAGGAAGCCGGACAAUACUGUCAAGCUAGAGGGCAUCAGAGGGGAGUGGAACUCCCGGAGUAGCGGUAAAAUGCGCAGGUAUCGGGAGGAACACCGAUGGCGAAGGCAGCUCCCUGGGAUGCACCUGACGCUAAGAGGCGAAAGCUAGGGGAGCGAACAGGAUUAGAGACCCUGGUAGUCCUAGCUGUAAACGCUGGGUGCUAGGUGUGGGACGUAGAAGUUCCGUGCCGGAGCAAACGCGAUAAGCACCCCGCCUGGGAAUUACGGUCGCAAGGCUAAAACUCAAACGAAUUGACGGGGCCCCGCACAAGCAGCGGAGCGUGUGGUUCAAUUCGAUGCUACACGAAGAACCUUACCUGGGUUUGACAUGUACGUGGUACGAAGGCGAAAGCCUAAGGACCCUUCGGGGAGCGUACACAGGUGCUGCAUGGCUGUCGUCAGCUCGUGCCGUGAGGUGUCGGGUUAAGUCCCGUAACGAGCGCAACCCUUGCCCUUAGUUACAAGUGUCUAAGGGGACUGCCGGCGGGAAGCCGGAGGAAGGUGGGGAUGACGUCAAGUCAGCAUGGCCCUUAUGUCCAGNGCUACACACACGCUACAAUGGUCAGUACAAAGGGUAGCGAAGUCGCGAGGCGGAGCGAAUCUCAACAAAGCUGAUCGUAGUUCGGAUUGCAGGCUGCAACCCGCCUGCAUGAAGCUGGAGUUGCUAGUAACCGCGCGUCAGCCAUAGUGCGGUGAAUACGUACCACGGGGC